UUUGGGGAAAUAUUGGUCCGUUAAGUUGGGGAAAAAGACAUCAUCCCUUGAGAUAAAAUUAGAUUUGUUUCCUUUUACUCCGAAAAUCUUUUCACCGUGGAUAAAAAGAAUCAAUAUGGGGGUAUAAAAUGAACCAAAUUUAAAUUUAACUCAAGGGGUCUUGAUGUUGUUUUCCCCAACAGGACGGAUCAUUAUUUUCCCCAAG
rnacentral:pre_miRNA from 1 species